UACAGAGGUCCCAAGCGUUGUUCGGAUUCACUGGGCGUAAAGGGUGCGUAGGUGGUGAGGUAAGUCGGAUGUGAAAUCUCGGAGCUCAACUCCGAAACUGCAUUGGAAACUACCUUGCUCGAGGGUUGGAGGGGGGACUGGAAUUCUCGGUGUAGCAGUGAAAUGCGUAGAUAUCAGAAGGAACGCCGGUGGCGAAAGCGACUCUCUGGCCCGAAUCUGACGCUGAAGCGCGAAAGCGUGGGGAGCAAACGGG
rnacentral:rRNA from 1 species